rnacentral:sRNA from 1 species
AAGUCGUAACAAGGUUUCCGUAGGUGAACCUGCGGAAGGAUCAUUAAUGAGUUAGGGGGCCUAGCCCCCAGCGGUGGGUGUCUGUUCAAGUCCGUCAGGGCUUGGACAGCGCUUGUCGUGUAUCUCAACCCCAUGUUUACCAUACCUUUGUUGCUUUGGCGGGCCUUGAGUAGGCUAUACGGCUCAUGCCGGCCCCCAGCGUCUUCUUGCUGGGGGGCGGCUCGCGCCCGCCGGAGGUUCAAUCAAAUUCAGUUUAUUAGAAGUCCGAGUAAAAAUUAAAUAAUCAAAACUUUCAACAACGGAUCUCUUGGUUCUGGCAUCGAUGAAGAACGCAGCGAAAUGCGAUAAGUAAUGUGAAUUGCAGAAUUCAGUGAAUCAUCGAAUCUUUGAACGCACAUUGCGCCCCUCGGUAUUCCGGGGGGCAUGCCUGUUCGAGCGUCAUUACACCCCUCAAGCGUAGCUUGGUAUUGGACGUUCGCGGGCCCUCUUUGGGGGGGCCUGCGCGCCCGAAAAGCAGUGGCGGUCCCCGGGGAUUUCGCGCGUAGUAACUAUUCUCCCGCGUUGGAACGAACCGAUGGGCCCUGCCAACACCCCCCAUAAAUCUCCAUGAUUGACCUCGGAUCAGGUAGGGAUACCCGCUGAACUUAAGCAUAUCAAUAAGCGGAGGAAAAGAAACCAACAGGGAUUGCCUCAGUAACGGCGAG